ensembl:snRNA U2 U2 spliceosomal RNA
AUCGCUUCUCGGCCUUUUGGCUAAGAUCAAGUGUAGUAUCUGUUCUUAUCAGAAAUGGCAGGCCUAACCACUUUAGAAACAUAUUUGCAAUUUCUUAAAUUCCCUAGAAAUAUCAAAUAUUGGAUUGAAUAUAUGAAAUAGCAAAUGCAAACAUCAAUACUUUAUUAGCUGGUAUCUCAGUU